CUGCGCUAGGCGGGGAGCUAGCGGUGCCCUGUCGCCUACAAUCCGCUACAGUAGGGCUGAAUGUUGCAGGCGGCUUUGUAUGUGGAAAGCUGGAAUUCGCAAGGAGCGUUGAUAUCAAGGUCUUGCGCGACGUAAAGUUGUGAACCGCGUCAGGGUGGGAACACAGCAGCGCUAAGCAAUAUGAGCGUGCGCCGCAAGGUAGCUUUGAAGUAGCCGCCUACGGAGAUACCGUUUCGGCAUAUACUGUCAACUGUAACGCGCAG
rnacentral:SRP_RNA from 1 species